GUUGCUGGUGGAAUGGAGUAGACCCCAAAAGCUCAAAACCCAAACAAUGAUUCUCCCCGGCAAUUGAUUUAGAAACAACAAG
rnacentral:ribozyme from 1 species